rnacentral:rRNA from 1 species
AUGGCGACCGGCGCACGGGUGCGGAACGCGUAUGGAACCUGCCCCUGUCAGGGGAAUAGCCCAGAGAAAUUUGGAUUAAUGCCCCAUAGUACUAUGUUAUUGCAUGAUAAUAUAGUUAAAGAUUUAUCGGACAGGGAUGGCCAUGCGUACCAUUAGUUAGUUGGUAAGGUAACGGCUUACCAAGGCAGCGAUGGUUAGGGGCCCUGAGAGG